GAUGAAGAACGCAGCGAAAUGCGAAAAGUAGUGUGAAUUGCAGAAUUCAGUGAAUCAUCGAAUCUUUGAACGCACAUUGCGCCCCUUGGUAUUCCAUGGGGCAUGCCUGUUCGAGCGUCAUUUGUACCUUCAAGCUCUGCUUGGUGUUGGGUGUUUGUCCCGCUUUUUGCGUGGACUCGCCUCAAAGCAAUUGGCAGCCGGCGUACUAGCCUGGGAGCGCAGCACAUUUUGCGCAUCUCGACUGGAACGCUUGCGUCCAUUAAGCCUACACUUUUGCUCUUGACCUCGGAUCAGGUAGGGAUACCCGCUGAACUUAAGCAUAUCAAUAAGCGGAGA
rnacentral:misc_RNA from 1 species